rnacentral:lncRNA from 1 species
GAUAAACAUUUUUCAACCAUGUUGAGAAAGGAGGAUAGCUGGGAAUAUAACAAAGCAGGAUCCAAUUUAAAGAAAUCUAUUUGUCUUUUUUUUUUUUAAUCUCGAUUGUCAAAGAUGAUUUGAAAAAGAAAGCUUCUGGGACCAGAUAACUUACACCGAAAGCAACUCAAGGAAUAAAUUCUGCUAAAAAGCACACCCUUGACACAGCAGAUCUGCUAGAAAGAGGGAGAUGAUUUCAAAAGGAGAAACUUCCUGUGAUAGCAAAUGGAGCUGCCAGCGUAGUCUUUGAACUCUCCUUCACCAUCAGCCAACGAAAGACUUCAGUUAUUCUUCACUAAAAAUGACAGUCUGCAAGUAUUUUGGACCUCCAGGUCGAGGCUAAGUUGGCAAGAACUAAAUGGAGAGAAAACCAUUUUACAGGGUCACUGCUAAAUCCAGAAUCACGGGAUUUCUGAAGAAACUGUAUAUGGGUGACUAAAUCAAAGGCUUCUGUUAGGUCAAUAAAAAUGUUUCUAAUAAUAA